rnacentral:rRNA from 1 species
UACGUAGGGUGCAAGCGUUGUCCGGAAUUAUUGGGCGUAAAGGGCUCGUAGGCGGUUUUGUCGCGUCUGCUGUGAAAACCCCGAGGCUCAACCUCGGGCCUGCAGUGGGUACGGGCAGACUAGAGUGCGGUAGGGGAGAUUGGAAUUCCUGGUGUAGCGGUGGAAUGCGCAGAUAUCAGGAGGAACACCGAUGGCGAAGGCAGGUCUCUGGGCCACUACUGACGCUGAGAAGCGAAAGCAUGGGGGAGCGAACAGG